UUGAAAGGGAAACGAUUGAAGUCAGUCGUACCAGCGGGAAAUCAACCUUUCGAGUGGUGUUUUGGAGUUUUGAAGUGUGUCAAAACCUUUGAGAUUUUAAAAUUUUCGCUCUUUUGGUGUACUUUCUCGUGGGUAGGUUAACAUCGAUUUUGAUCAUCAUAAAAAGACUGGAGGAAUGUAGCUUCGAUCUUGUAUUGAAGUGUUAUAGCCUUUGGUAAAUGUGAUGAUUAGGAUCGAGGAUUGCAACGAAUACCCUUCUGGGCUAUCCGCCUGAUCUCUGAUACGUGGCCUUGGCAUCGAAAGCUUGCUUAUGGUAUCAAGGUAUUACGGUCAAAAGGUUGGAACGGAUUACAUUCGUUAAGGAUGUUGACGUA
rnacentral:rRNA from 1 species